rnacentral:lncRNA from 1 species
GUGUAAUGAACUGGAAAAAAAAUUUUUUAAAUAGAAAAAGAAAAAAAAAGAAGAGGAGGAAGAUGACAAGUAAGAGGAAAAAAUAAACAUUUCAAAGUCUUAUUUUGGUGAUGCUCAAAGGCUCUCUCUUGCUCUCAGAAACUUCAGAGCAAGAUAUGGCUCUUUCUUUUUUGUAGCUUGGAGCAACUUUCCUGUCAACUGCCUAUCUAACCUCUGUCACUAGAAAGCUAUGCACUGGCAAACUGGCCUCAGCAGUUCAAGGUUGGAGAACCCCAGCCAACGCCCGAGGGUGGGACAGAACGCAGGCGCCAAGCAGUAUCCUCGGGCUGCUAAUUUGCAGGACACACAGAGCCCUGUUCUGUAACCUCCCCCUAGGCUGUGGAUGUCAAGAGUGGAAUGCAAGAAGCAACUGUAAGCAUACACAUUGGUUUAAAUGACCUAAUGCUCAGAGGAUUAAACCACGCCUCCACGCCUCCUUUCCUGUCCUGCACUUGUUUAGUAAAAAGAAAUCUACCAUUGAAUUGAGGACCAAACACUAUAAACAAACUGGGUCAAAUAAAUUGUCAUCUACCCGGGGCAGUCCACUUAUCUGUGAAGAAACUUCCACUAACAACUGGUACGGUCAACAAUCUCUUAUUAACAAAGCAUUGUCUGUUAUAUACAAAUGUAGGCUUAAAAAUUCUAUAUGACUUGAAAUAUGAUUAACUCCAUCAUUACCUCUGCU